rnacentral:rRNA from 1 species
GAUACGCGAAGAACCUUACCUGGGCUUGAUAUCCUAAGAACCUUUUAGAGAUAAGAGGGUGCUAGCUUGCUAGAACUUAGAGACAGGUGCUGCACGGCUGUCGUCAGCUCGUGUCGUGAGAUGUUGGGUUAAGUCCCGCAACGAGCGCAACCCACGUAUUUAGUUGCUAACGGUUCGGCCGAGCACUCUAAAUAGACUGCCUUCGUAAGGAGGAGGAAGGUGUGGACGAUGUCAAGUCAUCAUGGCCCUUAUGCCCAGGGCGACACACGUGCUACAAUGGCAUAUACAAUGAGACGCAAUACCGCGAGGUGGAGCAAAUCUAUAAAAUAUGUCCCAGUUCGGAUUGUUCUCUGCAACUCGAGAGCAUGAAGCCGGAAUCGCUAGUAAUCGUAGAUCAGCCAUGCUACGGUGAAUACGUUCCCGGGUCUUGUACUCACCGCCCGUCACACCAUGGGAGUUGAUUUCACUCGAAGCCGGAAUACUAAACUAGUUACCGUCCACAGUGGAAUCAGCGACUGGGGUGAAGUCGUAACAAGGUAACCGUAGGAGAACCUGCGGUUGGAUCACCUCCUUUCUA